rnacentral:rRNA from 1 species
UACGGGGGGGGCAAGCGUUGUUCGGAAUUACUGGGCGUAAAGGGCUCGUAGGUGGCCAACUAAGUCAGACGUGAAAUCCCUCAGCUUAACUCCGAAACUGCAUUCGAUACUGCGGUGCUUGAGGACUGGAGAGGAGACUGGAAUUCAUGGUGUAGCAGUGAAAUGCGUAGAGAUCAUGAGGAAGACCAGUGGCGAAGGCGGGUCUCUGGACAGUUCCUGACACUGAGGCACGAAGGCCAGGGGAGCAAACGGG